AUACGGAGGAUCCGAGCGUUAUCCGGAUUUAUUGGGUUUAAAGGGUGCGCAGGCGGCCAUUUAAGUCAGCGGUUAAAUCGUGGGGCUCAACCCCAUUCUGCCGUUGAUACUGGGUGGCUUGAUUGCGGUCGAGGUUGGCGGAAUUCGUUGUGUAGCGGUGAAAUGCAUAGAUAUGACGAAGAACACCGAUUGCGUAGGCAGCUGACCAGACCGCAAAUGACGCUCAUGCACGAAAGUGCGGGGAUCGAACAGGAUUAGAUACCCUGGUAGUCUGCACAGUAAACGAUGAAUACUUGUUUUCGGCGAUAUAAUGUCGGAGGCAAAGCGAAAGCGAUAAGUAUUCCACCUGGGGAGUACGCCGGCAACGGUGAAACUCAAAGGAAUUGACGGG
rnacentral:rRNA from 1 species